CCCAGCUAUGAAUGGCCUAUAAAAAUACGCUGUGCAACAAGAAGGACCAGAGUAAUAAGAAAAUUAAGUUAAAGCAAAGGAAGGCAGUGAAUUUGAGCAGAAAUUGGAAAGGCUUUCUUUUCACAGUUAUAGGCUGCUGGAAAGUAUAUCAUUCAUUAUCAAUGUGAUAGUUCUCACAGCUUCUCUCACAGUAAGAAGGCAAAAAAAUGCUGUCAUACCAUUGCUACCAAUCAGUAGCAAUCACGGACACUUGUUUAUAUGUCAUUCAUAAAAACUGUACCCUGCCUCAACAAAGGAAACAGCCAGCAGAAAUAGUGAGUUGUUAAGCACUGGAUCAGGUUGGCUAUACAAACUCUGAAGACUCCACCCUCAAAUAUUUUCAGAAGUUGAAUGAAGAAGGCUGCAGGCACAUUGCUCUAAUCUUGGAGGUGACUCUGAAGAGGAGGUUGGUCUAUAUGGACUCCAGGAGUCCCUUUGCUCCUGAAUUAUUUUCUGAUUUAACUUGAAUAUAGGAAUGGGUUGAUGAAGUCCUAGGCUACAUUUACACCAGUAAGCAACACAAUGGCAGGAAAUAUUUCUGGAGAGCUAACUAAGUCAUUACAGCUAUUAGAACAGCCCCUGACAUAGUUUUGGACUGUUCUAGCUAGCGGUCUGCCAAAUCAUUCAUGGGCACAUCUGGGAAGACAGCACAUACCUGCACACAUGGUCAGUGAACUGUUUGUCUUCAUCAGCCUGAACAGGAAUUUCUGCACACCAGUUAGUGCCAGGGCUGGAGGAGAGUCCUGGGCAUAUUUGUUUAGUAGUAAUAGUAGUAUAUAGUAGUAGUAAUAGUAGUAAUUCCAGUAUGAGGAUUACACAUGUAUUUCUAGGGUUCAUUCCCAAAACUUAGAAGUGGUACUGCAGUUUUUAUCUGCCAUACAUAGAUUUUUCAGCUUUAUCACAGAAUGUCACAGCCCAUAGAUACAUUGCUUCUUUUCUUCUGUGAGCAAAUACUCUGUGCCUCUCAUUUAGUGAGUGGCUCAGAAACAGUGGUACAGAUCAUGCUGCAGACAGGUUUGCAGACACCAUGCAAACAACGCAGACUCGGUUGCUAUUCCAGAAGGGCUGCAGUGUUGUAACUGUUCUUUUGGCCCUUUUUAUCUUUGUAUAUUAGACUACAGAAUUAUAGAGCCCUUGGUUUGAUCAAGUAAUUCAAAAGGGAGCAAAGAGAUGUUGAAAUUCCUAUGAUGUUCUUCACACUUCCAGCCAGCUAUUAACUCAAGGAAAUAUUUUCCUUUUCAGUUAUGCCUUAGGUAACCUGUGGAUGACCUCUACAGCUCACAUCACUUCAUUUUUUUUCUAUUUCUCAUACAGCCUCAGGUUUAUCCAUCUGCAUUACAAAACCCACAGACAUUUUUACUUACUCAGUCCUUAAAGGCUAUUACUCUACAGCACAUAAAUGUAAUGCACAAUUUAGCAUUACUGAAGUCUAGAGAAAGAAGGAACUCCUUUUAAUUGUAUUUUCUAAAGAACAGUUUUCAGAGGAAAUAAAUUCAAUGAAAAGCAUGACAUGCAAUUGGAUAGCAUGAUUAUGGCACACGACACUGCAAGUCAAGAAAUUCCCCAAGUUAUCCAAUAUUAUCCAGUAAUUAAAAAUAUCAUUCACUUCUGAAUUUCCUUGUUAUCAGAGACAGGUUGAAACUUUAGAUACCUAUAUUCCUAGAGGUAUAAGUCACAAAUACCCAUGGUAAUUAUCUCCUGUUUGAGUUUCCAUGGAAACAAUGUUUACGGUAUUGCAGUAUUAUCAGGAAAAAAAAGCAGUUAUAAAUAAUAAAGAGGCUAAUGUUUCUCUUGGUCUUGCUGAACAGCUUCAGGCACAGAGACAGAAGAACUGGAUAGAAAAGAAUGACCACAGCUGUAAUUCCAAUGCAUAUUAUUGGCCGUGCUUUAUUACUGGAAAGCCCACAUUACUGUUAAAGCUUCACAAUGUGAAGGUGCCAAAUUACCUUUUAUUAACUAUUAUAACCACUGAAGAUCUAGCUUCUUCAGAAAUAAUUGGCUAUGCUAUUUUCACCCUAGUAAUAUGAAAAAUUCUAACUUGUUUUUUUAAAAUUCAAUCUUGGUUUGCAUUUGAUCAUCUAAUUGUUUUUUUAUUUCAACUGUGAACAGAUUUUUUUGUUUGUUUAUACCUCUUAUUCUGGAUUCCCACAGGCUUUACUGAAUAUCCUCAUAACUACUUCACUUUUGUUGAUAUGCAAAAUGCUACAAAAAUGUAUAUUAAUUAACACAAAGCUAGGCAACUCGUCCUUGUAAAAUAAAUGAGUCACUAGAAGCAUGUAGAAGCUUGUAGAAGCAGUGCUUUUUAUCCAGGUUUUUUUUUUUAAGUUUAGUGAAAACAAGUGGGCCUCAUCUGUUGCAUAUGCAAAUUAUGGUCAAUAUAAUUGAUGCAGUUGUCAGAAUUCACGGUGCUCUGUUACCACUUUCUGCACUCUGUAACUUUGAGAACUGAUGCAAUAGAAACAUCUCCUAUGAAAUGUUCAGUACCACCAAGCCCUGCUGAAGUCAUGGGUAACUGAAAACAUUCCACAUCUCACAGAAGCCUUCAGGACCAUGUUCACAUGGAAGAUUUAAUCUCUUCAAAAAAGAAGUAGGUAGCUAUGCCAUAAAUAAGCUGAUUUACUUUGUAGUGGGAAUCUUUGAAAAGAAGUUUCAGCAUUGUAGGACCCAGUCCAGUAAAAACAGGUGAGAAGCAUCCCCCCUUCCCUGAUGUUUUAAUAUCUAAUUAUACCCUUAUAAUUCUGAUCAUACUGUCAAGACUUUGACUAUCAGUGUGAGGCCCAGGUUAAAGGCCCUGCUGGAGCAGAGAUUUUUAGAUCAGUCUCACACUAUUUAUAAAGGUUUUCAAAUGGCUGUUUUUAAUUGCUGUUAUGAAGAGUUUUUCUCUUGACAUCUGGCGAAGUUAACUCUCCCCAAAAAAGUGCUUCAAGAUUCGUUGGACCCAAGAGACAAUGACAACUUCAUUUGCUUAUUAGAACAUUCACCUCUGCAAUUAGGGUAAAUGCAAUUAGUGUUUAAUGAAGACCACAUAAACAGCCACGUUCUCAAAGUUUUGAUCCCAUUUUUAAUUUCACUAUUCAGUCUCAUUAUUGUUUUCUAUAGUAACAGUCCCUAUGAAAUUAAUGCUUUGGCAUUUUCUUUCUUGUACUUGCCAGGAGCAAAAUCUUCAGAGAAACUCCAUAUGAACAGUAAUAAAAAAAAAAAAAAUUCACAAAGGAAACCACUGCCUAAGCCUACACUGACAACUGUUGUUUCAUGUUCAUGUUCUCUUAGAAAUCUUGAUUUGAAGCUGUGUGGACAGCAUUAUUUUUCAUCUGUCUUCUGCAUAGACUUUCAAACACUUGACCCAAACAAUACUUUGUCCAAAAACUCCAUCAGCUAUUUAUAACUUAUUAAAGGAAAAUAUCUAUUUUGAUUAAAUUUGUAUUUCUUUAAAAAUACUAUGACAGAUAAAGAUUUAUUUGCAUCCAUAGUUGAUGGAGUGUGUAGAGUACUCCAGUGUUUAAAGUUACUUUCACAUAACAGCACUUCAGGAUCUUCAGGUCCAAGAUGACAAAUAUUAGCUCCAGAAGAGAGAAGGAGAAGCACUGUUGUUGCAGCCUUGGUGAGACAGCUCACACAUCUACAAGUGAAAGGCAGCCAGCAGUAGUACAGAAGAAGAGCUGCAGAGUUGCAAAGCGAAGCCCCUAAGCACUGCAAAGGUUCAGGCACUGAGGAAAUCCACAGCAGUUUAAAUUGUUCAGGAAAAAGAAAAUGGCCUAAUGCUCAGAAAAGGACACAUCUUGUAGAAGUUUACAGCAGUAUCUGGGGAACCUUACAGGGACAUUUGUUGGAAGUGAGUAUACUUUAUUCACAUCGCUACUUGAAGUGACUGAUGUGUGACUUUUGAACUUACUCACUUUUCCUAUGGCUGACUGAAGAUGUAUACCAAGUUACAGUGAUUCAUUUGGAUGACAGCAGCACACAGGGGCUUCUUAACAGGAUCAGAACUCCUUAUCAUGUGUAUCGAACAAGACUAAAAUAUAGAAGCUUGUCAAGCACAAAGGAAAAGCCAUACAUUUAAUUCCAUAGCUGUUACUGUAAGCUCAGCUUCUGAGCUGUAAGCUAUUAAUAUAUGUGGUCUUUCCUUCUCAUAUGUACAAAUUACAUACAGUGUUCCUAAAUUGCAUUUGCAAAUAUCUGCACGCACACGUACAAGUUCCUGAAUUGGUUAACUUCAUGUUUUUUUCAGAGCAAAGAUGGAGGGUUACGUUUGAACUGUUGAUGCAGGGAAGGUGAGAAAAUUUAUGAACUGUCUGGCAUUAAUUUACCUGACUACAGCGACCACAAGUUUUUCUAACAGCUCCCUGAAAUCAAUGGACUGUUGCAAUUCUUUUGCUUUUAGCAAUACCCCAGCUAUAGAAGAGAGGGUUCUGCCUUUGCAAUGUGGUGAUUCCAUUUCAUUGCUCACAGCAAAUUAGAAAUAUUUUUAUGAAUGUUAUUUAAAGGAGAAAAUCAAUAGUGACUUAGACUCUUGGCCUCUUCAGUGAACUGUCAGGAUUAUUUUGGUGGUUUAUUACAUUGGCAGGAGUGUUUAGCAAAUCUAGCGAAAAUAUGCACAAAGCUUUCACACCACAAUUUUUUUCUUUUUUUUUUUUUCAAAUAGAUGCCAUAUUUCUGCUCUUACAGCCAUAUCCUGAUUCAUAACAUUGCUAGUGAAAGGUCUGCAUAUCCUGCAGCUACUGUGAAAUAAAAAGAGAGGUACUAAGUGUUUGGGGGUUUUAUUUUAGUCCAAUUUUUAUUUUAAGUCAAGGUAGCCUACUAUCAGGCAUAUGGAUUUAGGAGCUAAAAAGAUUAGCAGAGGAAGGCAGACUUGUUAACAACAUACACAUCCUUCUGCCGUUUAGAACUGUGGAGUUCCAGUCCACCUUUCAGCAUCUCAUGAACCUGGGCAGGUCCUUCACUAUGUGACUCCUGAAAUGCUCUACACUCCUUUCUGAAAGAAAUAAGUGACAGAUUAUAGGCAUCUCCAUAUGACCCAGGAGGAGGCUUGCAGUUCCCUUGCCAUCUCUAUCAUACUAGCAUUUUUAUUAGACUUACUGCCAAACCUGUGAUGUAGGGCUCAUGGAAAAAAUUGGGAAGCAAACAGUCUGUAAUGUCAUCAGAUUAAAUAUAGUAGAAUCUUUUUGACAGAUGACAGAAACCUUUUCUGCAAUCAGUAGCACCUAUUUUUGCAUGGCUUUUUUACUUACUAAAGGUCAUAAAACUUUAGAAGAUAAAACUAAAAUUUCUGAAAUAUUUUAAAUUACUUGCAUUCAAGUAAAACAGACAAAUAUUCCUUUAAGAAGGGAAAGAAAAAUGAUUUUACAUCUUCAAGGUCAAUAUAUUUUCUUUCGACAAUGUGAAAAAGCAGCUUAGGUCCAUGGCAGUAGUAAUUAGGUAAAUAAUUCAUAUAGUAUAUAGUAUUUGAGACCCUUUAUCUGACUGAAUGAGGAAAAGCUCAGAAUUCAUCUUCUUUCUUCAACAGUAGAGCUGACAUAUUCUUAUCUAGGCUAUUAGUGGUAUCUUGGAGCCCUCUAGCUCACUGCUCCUUUGUGAUAUUUUGUGAUCUAUUACAGUACUGCUAAUUGUGUUUUGAAACAUUGAUUUUAGGAAAGAGAUGGAAUGUACUGCAUUAGAAAGCAUUUCAGCCUUGGCAAAAAUAUACUCCAUGUACUGGAAAGGCAGUCAAGAUUGACUUGUACUUGUACCCCAUGGGGAAAACAUAAACACUUGUUAAUUAUAGAGGAAGCUAACCACCAAGGUGGCUGGGGAUACAAAUUCAUAUUUCCAAACAAAGAAAAUUAAACAUUUGCUCUCACAACUCUGCUAGAGAAAGGGCUCUGCUGAUCUCUCUGCAUUAAAUGAGCUAUCUCCCCUGGGUAAACAAACGAGGCCCGCAGCCCAGUGCCACUCAGAGCAGCAGGAAGAAAAAAAGACUGAUUAAGCGGCAAAGUGUAACCUGUCUUCUCAUGGCUAGCUACUUCAUUACCCUUUGCACGCCCACUGUGAGGCCACAUUGCCACAUCCUGCCUUGCCCAGCACACACAUGAAUUGUUGAGGUUUACUGCAAUGCUUGUAUUUCUUAUUGUUCUCUCCAGUAAGAGAAUAUUCAAAAUUAAUUGAGUUGGGCAAGAAAAGCUUUUCAAUAGUCUUCAAUCUGUUUCCAAGAGAGGACAAUGGUAAUUCUUUCAGUGCUGCUUAUCCGGGAUAUACAGUGCAAAGGCCACUGCCUUCAUGCUUGCUGGGCUACCCUUGGAGCAGCUUGUGCUUCCAGUCCUUCAUCCCUUGCCAAUAUCCAUGAAAAGUCUGGGGGCCAUUGCAAGUCCCUGGGGCUAUGCCCAUAGGAGGGCCUUGAAAACACAUCCCACUUAAUUGUCAGCAAAGUCAUGUGCUGAUAAAUAUUUGGCCUGCAUCAGCUAGCUCCCACCCAGAUGAAAUAUCCAAGCUCUUUUCACAGGAAAGCAAGGACUCAAUAGAGCUCGUAUCCACAUCGUAGUGAGCAAACCACAUGGGUGAGGACACUGCAUUUUGGAGGAGAUUUUAGUGCAUGAGCACAAGCCUUGCCAUUGGCCCCAGAGGCAGAGAGAGACCUAGCCCCAUUAUAUUUAUUACUGUAGACACAAGAGUCAUCAGUGUCUAUAGAAUCUGAGCCCUGCAUCAGAAAGAGAAGCAACAGAAACAUCUUGACCUCCACCCUCACUCACUACUUCACAGCUGCUGAAAACAUCCAAAAGCUAGACUUGAACCCAAUUUAUCUUCAAGCAGAGCAAUAAAUAGUAAAAUCAUCACAUCUACUGCUGUCCUCUGAAUAUGCAACUCUUUUUCCACAUAAUUUUUACUUGUAAAACAAACUUAUAAGAAUAUGAAGCAAUUUGUCUGAUAACUGCUGAAAUGCUGUUUUAAGUGACAAUCUAUACAGCUACGUUAGAAGCAAUACUGGAGGAGACUCUGUUGUGCUUCUUUGAUCAUAAUUAGAAUAUAAAUAAAUGUUAGUUCUAGUCAGAGGCUUGCACUCUAAUAGUAAGAAAUUCUAGCCUGCCACUUCUCAAACAGAAAAGAAGGGAUUGAAAUCUGUCCUUCUGACAAACUGUUCUGUGUUGUUGUGUAUGCUGAGUGAAAAUAUAGAGGAUGGGGGAGAGCUUUCAGGCUCGAUGUACAGAUGUCACUGUGUAGUUCUUUUUUUUUUCUUAUUUAUGUUAUUCAGAAAGGAUUGUAAAGUAUAAAAUUAGUGCAGCUAGGCAACGGAAAGACUUGCUGCAUUAGCACAUGGCUUAACAUGCUACCUGGGUUGAGCAGAAGUGAGUCUGACAAGCUGGGCAAGCAAAAACACGUUGCACUAGCUUAUAGUGAGGCUGGUAUGGUGGAAUGGACAAAUGCAUUAGCUCGAGAAGAGAAUGGGAAAGCUUGAUCACUGAAACUCAUCUGCAGACUCAUAAGUUUUAGUAUAUAUGUUUUAGUUUAUAUGUUCAGAAUGAGCCAGGCAGAGCAGCUGAGUUUAGAUAGCAAGAGAUGGAUUCCCCAUGUCCCAGUUUUUAUUAAAAUUUUAAAAAAUAUAUUCCUAUUGAUUAAAAAUGGGGGUAGGGGAGAAAGGACAGGAGAGAAAAUCCAAGAAGGGAAUGAAGGAAAUAAAGGUCAUAGACUAAAUCAAAAGAUUUUCAGAGUCUUGCACAGAUGGACAGGAUGCAAAGAAGGUUUAUCCUCAGACCAACUGGCAAAUGCUGUCUCAAUAAGAAAACCUGACUGAAGUAUGAGUCAAAAUACAAGAGCACUGUUAAUAAUUAAUUUAUUGUCCUGUGUUUUGUUUUCAAAAUUGCAAAACCUUCCUUUCACUUUGACAGAGUAAAUAAAGCCAAGUGAUUCCUUGAAUCCCUAGGUCUAAUUUGUUAAAAAAGCCUGCUCUGAAUGAGAUGACAAGCAAAAAGUUCCUCCAUUCUUGUGAGCAGUGAGUUGAACAGAGUGAAUAGGCAAAUUCACAGAGACUUUCAUUCAGCAAGCACUGGGAAAGCCUAGAAAAUUAGGGCAUACUUUUCAAAUUCCUUUACAAAGCCCUGUUUAGAGUUAGGAAUGCUCAUAGUCAUGCUGUCAAGAGAGAGCCCUUUUGGCAGCUGAUAGCCAGCACAGGCUUGAAGAGCACCGAGCACCGUAACAUUAAAGAAUCUCCGGAAUUAAACACUCUCAGUAACCACCAGAACCAGAAUACAUUUUUCUGGCCUACAUCCAGGUACAACUGAGCAAGGCCCAUCUAAAUUGCCAGAAUCUGCAGGAAAAAAAGGCCACAAAUUAUCACAGGCCGCAAGCACAAAUUGUGCUUACAUUUAUCACCAUUAUUAGCUGUAGGUAUCUCUUAGUAGGAGGCAUAUUCCAGCUUUCUAGUGUUACUACUUACGUGAUUGUAAUUGAGCAUGGGUUAAGUUACCAUCCAAAACACAAGUGACUGCAUGCAUUAAGAAUACAGAGACAAUAAUAUGGUUCUUAAUAACAAAACAAUACAUGAAGAAUUUGAAAUAAAUGAAGGGAAAAUUAGCCAUGUGUUCUACUAACAUUAAGGAGGAGUUUUGUCGCAGCAUGCACGCUGGAGAUCACGAGACAAUACCAAUACGGUUAGGCAAGUGAUUCGUUUAUUGAUAGAACAAUCAGACUUCUAUGCAUUUGUGAAAGGCGUGCUGCAACACGGCGUUAUUUGAUUGGUUGGCUUAAGCAAGUCUCUGUAUGCUCUUGCUGUUUCAAAGUUUCUGCUUUUCCCAGCGCUUUGCUUCUUGCUGUUCUUGCAAGUUACUUGUUCCAAGGCAUCAAGGACAACUCAAGAGUCCAGCAAGUCCAAGUAAACGUGCCCGUUGUCACGUAGAUAGUUUCCCACAGAGUUUGUAUUGAUAGCAUCAUGUUUUCAGCAUAGCAUAUCCAGUAAGAUUUUCAGAACCCUUGUAUGACAUUUUACAUAUUGUAUUGGGCUUAUGUGGCAAGGUUUUGGUAGCAGCAAGAGGAGUCUGUGAGGGUAUCCUCUGCAAGAAGAAACAGGGGGCUACCCUGUAUUGGACAGAGCCAGUUCCAGCUGGCUCCAAAAGGGACACACCACAAGAGACAAUUAAGCUGACAGUGGCACCACUGGGAAAACUCUUAAGAAAAGGAAAAAAAGUGCUGUGCAGCAAGUGGGGGAAAGAGAGAAGAGUGAGAAAAAAUGAGAGAGAAGCCGCCCUGCAGCCACCAAGGUCAGUGUAGGAGGUGCUCCAGGCACAGAGCAGAAAUACCCUGCAGCCCAUGGGCACUAUGUAGAGCAGAUCUCUCUGUGCAGCCAUGGAGGAGCCCACAAGGCAGCAGUGGCUGAGGCCUGGAGGAGGCAUGGCCUGUGGGUACGCCCGCAGGAGUGGCCUGGGCUGGAACUGUUGCCCAUGGAGAGGGGCAGCGGUGGGGCAGGAGGGCUGGGGAAGCUGCUGCUCAUGGGGACCCGUGUGGUGCAGCGCCUGAAGGGUGGGCCCCAUGGAGAGGACUCACUCUUGAAGAAAUGCAGCCUAUGAGAAAGACCCAUCUUGGAGCAGCUCAUAAAGAACUGUAUGUCAUGGGAGCAGUCCGACGCUGAAGCAAGGGAAGAAUGAGGAAGGAGCAGCAGAGACAAAGCAUUAUGAACUGACCACAACCAUCAUUCCCCAUUCCUCAAGACACGCAGAAGGGAAGUGGUAGAAAAGGUAGAACUACAGGAAUUAAGUUGAUCUUGGGAAGAAGUUGGUGAAGGGGUAGGAGGAGGAUAUUUUUAGUUUUGUUUUUGUUUCUCACCAUCCUUCUCUUCUUUUUUAACUGGCAGUAAAUUAAAUUAAUCUUCCCCAAUUUAAGACUGUUUUGCCCUAUGUGGUAACUGGUGAGCAAUCUUCCCAUCCUUACCUUGACCCACAAGCUUUUUCUCUCCACAUCCUGUUGAGGGAGGUAGUGAGAGAGCAGCUGUGUGAGUGGCUGGCAGUAAGCCAAGUACAAAAUCGUCUCACAUUCAUAAGAAUACAGAAGAAAAAAGACUGUAAAAAUAUUGGCUGAGCACUAACAUAGCCUGUGUUCAUCCUUCGUCUUUUUCUACAUAUUUCAAAACCUAGUAAAAAGCAAUUAAGCAAAUGACAAGAUUAUGUGCUUUAAGUUUCACACCAGUGCUUUGCAAUCAAAACUGGUCACAGUUUCUAUUACCAACACAUGGAGCCGUAGUUUAAAACUUGGUACCAACAGGAAAACUGAACUUGUGCUGCAGCCCAAUAGCAACUUGGUCCUCCAGGAUAAUUUUGAGUAUGGCCUUUCAACAGCCCAGUAGUCAUUCAUUCUUUGGGAUAUCAGCCAGGGAAAUGAGUUUAGGAUUAGAUUAGACACUAAUCAGAAGUCACCAGUAUUGCACAAUAGAUCUAGAAGUAUGUUUUCUUGUUUCCAUAAAUGGCGGCUGUGGAGUGAUUAAUUCUCCUCUCCACUAAAGCAAGCAUUAGAGUUCUAUGAAAGCUGGGAGUAUUCCCCAGAAGAAAGAUUUUGCUUUCAAGUGAACUUCAUAGGUUCAGGGAAUUUGAACUGAGCAUAGUGUUUGAUGCAUUAAUUGGAGCACUUGUCAAAUGUAACAUUUUUAGUGCACGAUGAUGUCUUCAUUAAUCAUGAUGAUACUAUGUGCAUGAUAACCAAAAUGGAAAGAAAAGCUGAAGAGACCAGAUUAAAAUUACUUCAGACCCCCCACAGGAGGGAAGAUCAUGAAAACUUUGGCUUUAUGCUUUCCAUUUUAUAGGAUGCUAAGAAACACAAGGCCAUGUGCUAAUUUUAGAUGGGAUUUUUGAGUUCUUGAUGCCACUGCUAUUUGGUAAGGAUGCUUCCAAAUCUAAACUGUUCACAUCUGUCUACUUAUUCAUAUUUGGUAACAUUACAGUAGGCAAUCAAGGUAAAAUCAGUUUGAGUUUUUACACAUAAGAAGCUGAGUCUUUUAUUCCCCCAGCAAAACAUGACUAAGUUUUUCUAUUUCAUUUUGUCCUCCUAACAGGAGAUAUCUGUAAAUUACAGCAGCAUAAAGGCCUGGCCUUUUAACAUUCUGAUAAAGCAUCCAUUUGAAGAAUGUUCUUCAUUUCUUCAGCCCAUUGAAGAGAUGUUCUUCUUUUCCCAGUAGGUCCUUUGACCCUUCAAACUCAGUCUUUCAGUUUAGUUGCUUACCUACUAUGACAUUAAUGUUUUCAUUUACCUCAUUUGUGCAAAGUGAAACGUCUUGUCAAUAGGGAUUUGACACAUCUUUUUCAGUAAGUUUCAGUAAGACUUCUUUACUUUUUUAAUGAAAUAAUUUCCUAAUACUCAGUCUUUUUAUAGUGUCACGUUGAGCUGACAAGAAAUUGUUUCUUUUCAAGGUUUCAGAGAUUUUUCCCAAGGUAGCCACAACUCAGUCAACUCAGAAAAUAGUUUUGCAAAAUGUUUCUGCAAUUUUAAAGGUCUGUAGGUCUCGGUAGUUCCUCACUAUGAUGUUAGGAGGUGACUCAAAAUCUGCAGCUGGAAUGUGCCUGACUUACGUAAUUAUGAAAGAACACAGGUCCGUAAAACUUUGUUAAAGGUUAGCUUGCCCAAUAUGCCUUUUACAAAGCAAUGCAACUAAAACAUAAAAUGUUUUCAAAAGGCUUGAGAAGGAAGUUGCCUGCUAGAGUGAGCAGGAACCAUGUUCUUACGGGGAAACAGAUGCAGUUGUAGAAACAGGGAGUCUUGAGGGGGUGAUUAGCCGGUAUGCUCAGCAUUAUCACAGAAAAGGCUGCUGACUGAUGCCAUUUCACAGUCCCACAAGAGAAACUAAGCGCCAGCAUUGCAGUUACCGAUGACUCUCCGGGGAGCACUGGAGGCCAGCUGCACACUCCAUUGUUACCAGGCGUUUAGUGAUUAUAGAGGUGGUUGCAGCAGGUACUUGGUGGAGGGGGAGGGGGGUUCUCCACCAGCUCUGUGAUGACCUUUGACACAGCUACAGUGACCCAUUGCUUUUAGGGGAAAGAGCCACGCUAUCUGCCUCUAUAUCAGCUGGUUGGACUCACCGAAGGCAAAGACCAGAGGGAAGCGAAGAGCCAGGGAGAAGAUGAUGCUAUGCCUGACACACCGUGUCAUGGGUAGCAGUCUCACAUGCCUUGGACUAGCUUUUCAUACCAUGCAUUAUGAACUUAAAGACAUUUCAACUGAACAGCUUCAAUGUAGCCAAAAGGAAUUACUAAAGGAUUUGAUGUUUUAUUGAUGAUCAUUUCCUUGCAGAAAACAUUUGUGCUUCACCAUUCUCCAAAAUACUUUGUAGCGUUUUACUGAAUAAUAAGGUGUGAAAAUGUUCUUACCUCAGCUGCAAAUGCAUCUGACUGAGACACAGAAAGACCCCGUGAUCCUAAAUACAGUCUAGUAUCUUACCUAGUUCAUGUGCCAAUGCCCUUAUGCAUGCCUCAUUCCUCCGGCCACUCUGGAACCGUUUCUCUGUAUAUGAGCAGGGGCAGCUAUACCUUUGUUCUCGGCAACAAUCUAGUUCUAGAAGCAACCAUGGAAAAAGUCUUGAAGUCUAGGCAAGAAAUUGUUUUUGUAAGUUUGUGAUCCUAACAAGAUACUGCAACAUACAGUUCUAUUAUUUCCAGAGCAUGACUCUAGUGAUGAAUUUAACAAAUUGUAUUAGUCCAGCUGUAAUUUAGAACUCCUCAUCUGCCAGGGAAAACCCUUAGGAAGAAAAUUUUUCAGCUUCUUAAAGCAUAAAUGAUCUUUCUCCAGAAGGCUAAAGGGGAAAGAAGAAAAAUAUCUUGACAGAUUUAGUAAAUAUAUAUUUGGUAACAAAUUAAAUUAAACUCAAACUAUGCGAUUCAUGUGGACAAAUAAUCUUGGGUCUGAAUAACAGGGAUGCAAAAAAUUCAGAAAUUAAUUCAGUUAUGACUCUGAAAGCUCAGUGUUAUUUAUCAGAAUUUGAUCACCCAACACAUCCCAAGCAGUGCCAGAAGCUACCAGGAGGGCUGGUCCUACUGCACUUAUCCACUCCUAGCUCUCAUCACACAAAGGAAAGGAGAGCUCAGAAGCUGUUACUCAAAAUGGAGACUGUCUAGGACACUUACUUGUUCUGGAGGAUGAUAAUGAAGCUGCAAAGCAUUCUUUGAGUUCUGUAAUUUCUGGAGAAAUCAGGUGGAAAUGGUGAUGCUUUAGGACGGAGUCCCCAAACCAAGGUCUGGCACCUGGGAAGGGACAGUUAGACAGAAACGAUAAGCUGUAUUUUGGCUUAGACACGAUGAGAAGCCAAACGAUAAGCUAUUUUUUACUCUCCAUUUUGUUUAAGAUGAAAGAUAAACUAUAAUGAGAUCUCUGUUGUGAUGUAAACACAAGCCUCAUCGCUGCUCUGACAGAUGGUACUGCUUGAGCAUAGACAGCAGUUAAACUGGAUGUGAUUAUGCAAAAAGUCAGACACGGCAAAUGGUCGUUUGCAUUCUUCCAACACACACAGACUGUUUCUUCUUUGAUAAACUCAUAUGUUAAAAUAAAAUGUAUGUCAAUUUGCUCUGUGGAUUUUCCGUCCAAUCAAAUUUGGAAAUAAUGGCAAGUGCUUUUCCACUCAAGAUAACUGAAAUACCUUCAUUCAUUCAUUGCAACAGCUCACAGAAGCAGACAAGAUUGCUUUUGAGAGAUUCUCGUUCACAUUCUGAGAAAAUUGCUUGGUGAGAUGCACAGCAAAUUGGAAGACUGUAUAUUUUAGCCACUAGUCAGAGAGGAGAGCAGACAUGAUCUGUUUCACUGUGUUCUCAUUAGGAGCCAGAUACUUCCCAGAAACAUACACAGGCAGCUCUUACUGAAACCAAUGGGGGUUGCCUGCAUCCAGGGACAGAGGUUCCUCCACUUUAGAAAUGAGAGACAGAGGGAGAGGGAGCCAUAUUUUGGUUUGCUAAGCCUUGUGUGGGAAGAGAAGCAACACCUGAGCAACGUUAAUUCAAAGACAUAGAAUUAGACAGCUGCCUAACUUGUUCUGGUUUUGUCUGAAUAUUGAGAAUGUCUCAAGUUAUACAUGCUACUUACGUACUUGUCUGCUUUCUGUCCCCAGGAUGGACAGCUACUUUCAUCAUUGUUUAAUGUAAGAAAAGAAUCACUAAUCCAAUCAAAUAGAGAGAAGAAAAAAAUAUCAAAAGAAAAGUUACAUCCCUUCUGUUUGGGUGUAGAGAAAGGAAUGUUCCUACUUUCCACCUGUAUUACUACUCAUUUCCAGCUAAGACUCCAAACUGACUCCUUGAGGACCAUGGUAAUGGCAACUGAGCCUGUUCACAAGCAGUAAAGUUUUCUCACUCUUAACAAUUUUAUACAGUCUCUCAAGAUUUUCUUCCUUAUAAUGCACCAGAUGUAGGAUUUUAUCACAACAAUCCACUAACUAAUUUGCCUUUCACAGAGGGAUUAUUUCCCCAGUAUUUCUCUGCUAGUUGCCACAAACUUUACUGCUUUUAAGCAAAAGCAGAUUCCUACCCUCUUGGUUACCUGUCCUUUCUCUAAGGUCAGAGCUUUCUGAGGUCACCUGCCUCUAUGGCUGCAUGCAUUUUUUCUCAUUAUUUCUCAUAGCACAAAGCAUCUUUUUCAGUUGAGAUCAAUGAACAACACAAUUUCCAGACCAGCAAGGAUACUUAUGAUUUUCAAAAAUGCCAUUUUCCUCCUUUUUUGUUAAAUGAGGAGAGUUUCAAAAUCUCUGAGUAGAAGAGGUGGCAAAUAUCUUAAAGAAGGCAGUUCUCAGAAGAUACCAAUGAUUUGCCUUUAGCCUAGGCUGAACAAAAAAAAAUUGUUGAUGAUUAAUAAACCUGAGAGCCAAUAACAUCUGUUUAGAAACAUCAAAAAAAUACUUUAUGCUCAUAACAAGAAGAAAUGACUAGAGAAGGAGAGCAUAUUCAUACUGUUCAUGUAGUAACCAGGAGUUGCAGCAAAAUGCUGACUCUCCUCCAGCUGGUUUCCUCCAGAUGAGCUUUAGAAAGGCAACUUAAAGACUGUUAAAUAAAUGAAAGACUGCAGAUUAAUCUACCUAAAUAAUUUCCAACAAGCUCACGGAUAUAUAAGUGGAAAAAAAAGUACGAAGAAAAAUAAUUUUUAGGCAGCAGAAGCAGUAGGGUUUGGAUCAGUCUGUGGUUGCUAACUGAUUUACACCUUACAAUGAAGUCACUCCAUGGUUCUCUACUGUUUAAUGAACGGUGAGCAGUUCUCUGUCUCUCUGCAAUAACACUGAGGGGGUCUGUACUCUUCUACACAUUACAGAAUUAUAUGGCAUUUGCAGUAAUUCAGUAUGCUGCUUUUUCCAAUUUUUGUCAAUCUGGUUGAAGCUAGCAAAACAUUGUUCAAAAGCUAAUAGGGGUAUUGACAGGCACAGGAGUAUAUGUACAUGUGUAGGUAUGGCAUGUAACCUUACAGGCUUUAUGUCCUUCAGAAGCCAAGCUAAAAGUCAGCUGUCUUUCAGAAAGAGCUUAACUUAAUCUGAAAAUAGACAGAUAAUCAUAGUCUUCCUGUAAAUCUUUUGUCUUGUAAACUGCUGGAUUGUAAUCUGUCAGAUUGUAAUCUGUCGGAUUGUAAUCUGUCUGUGGUCAAGAUGGAAGUUCCAAUUGUGUUUUUCUCUGUGAGAGAAAACAGAAGGACAAGAAAGGAUGAGAGGAAGACAGCAAGCCUUGAGGAGCAGGUGGAUUCAGAUCAUCUGGGUAACAGGAGUCAGGUGUGCAGAUAGAUAUGGUCUUUUGAAUAUUCAUAUGGCAAAACUUGAUACAGGCUGCAGGGCAUUACAUUCUCACUUUUGAAGAAUCAUGAUUUAUAUUAUCCAUUAGGUCACAUCAUAGACUAAGGAAUGAUCACCUGACAAAUUAGAGGCAAAAUAAAAGAAUUUAAAAACUCCACUGCAAAGUUGCAUUAGCAAUACAGGUCUCACAAGUGAUGUUUGUUCUGUAUGAUUCAUCCGAACACUGUAUCAUUGUGGAAAGCAUUCUCAAAAUAAUACCUCUGCUUGCUUUCUUUGUAUGUAGGUAACUUAGAAAAGAGUCCUGUGCUUUCUGUAAUUUGAUUUGUUACACUAACAAUAAAUGUUUGAGUGUUAA